GACGAGGUGGACAAACGUUAUUCGGAUUUACUGGGCUUAAAGCGUGCGUAGGCGGCUCAGAAAGUUGGGUGUGAAAGCCCUCGGCUCAACCGAGGAAUUGCGCUCAAAACUACUGAGCUUGAGUGAGAUAGGGGUGAGCGGAACUGAUGGUGGAGCGGUGAAAUGCGUUGAUAUCAUCAGGAACACCGGUGGCGAAGGCGGCUCACUGGAUCUUAUCUGACGCUGAGGCACGAAAGCUAGGGGAGCAAACGGG
rnacentral:rRNA from 1 species